rnacentral:rRNA from 1 species
AUUGAACGCUGGCGGAAUGCUUUACACAUGCAAGUCGAACGGCAGCACGGACUUCGGUCUGGUGGCGAGUGGCGAACGGGUGAGUAAUGUAUCGGAACGUGCCCAGUCGUGGGGGAUAACGUAGUGAAAAUUACGCUAAUACCGCAUACGAUCUAUGGAUGAAAGCGGGGGAUCGCAAGACCUCGCGCGAUUGGAGCGGCCGAUAUCAGAUUAGGUAGUUGUUGGGGUAAAGGCCCACCAAGCCAACGAUCUGUAGCUGGUCUGAGAGGACGACAAGCCACACUGGAACUGAGAAACGGUCCUGACUCCUACGGGAGGCAGCAGUGGGGAAUUUUGGACAAUGGGCGAAAGCCAGAUCCAGCCAUGCCGCGUGCAGGAUGAAGGCCCUCGGGUUGUAAACUGCUUUUGUACAGAACGAAAAGGUUUCUACUAAUACUAGGAGCUCAUGACGGUACUGUAAGAAUAAGCACCGGCUAACUACGUGCCAGCAGCCGCAGUAA